UACGGAGGGAGCUAGCGUUGUUCGGAAUUACUGGGCGUAAAGCGCGCGUAGGCGGCUUGUAAGUUAGAGGUGAAAGCCCGGGGCUCAACCCCGGAACUGCCUUUAAGACUGCAUCGCUUGAAUCCGGGAGAGGUGAGUGGAAUUCCGAGUGUAGAGGUGAAAUUCGUAGAUAUUCGGAAGAACACCAGUGGCGAAGGCGGCUCACUGGACCGGCAUUGACGCUGAGGUGCGAAAGCGUGGGGAGCAAACAGG
rnacentral:rRNA from 1 species